UUAUGAAUUGUCCUAUAUACAGGAUAUUUGCUAUGUGGCCCUGUGGAAGCUCUGAGAAUCGUUGCCCUAACCUAACCCUAUUGUAAGGUGCAGAGGCUUUAGGAAGCAGGGCAUAGAGGAAGAAUGUUAGGCUAUUGGAUCAGUUCCUUGAGGACUGGAUCAAUCCCUCCUCUUCCUGCUUUUUGUUCUCAGCCAUCAAGGGGUAAACAGUUGCCUCUGCUAUAUACUCCUACCUCAUACAGGCCUAAAAGCAAUGUGGUCAACCAACGAUGGACCAAAUGCUCCAAGACUGUGAGCCGGAUUAACCUUUCUUCUUCUUAAGUUGAUUUACCUCUGGUAUUUGUUACAGUCAAAGAAAUGUCUAAGAUAGUAGAUAACUCUAGGCAUGCACAGAUGGGAUUACAUAAUUCUUCUUACUAUUGAUACAAAAAUUUCCCUAUUAAAAACAUACAUAUUAAAUCCUCACUAUCAAAAUUAAAUGAUUAUCUCUAAGAGUUCUAGCACAAAUGUGAGGUGGAUUCACAUUUCGGGUGAUUCCGAUAAGUAAUGACUCCAGGGCAGAUAAGCAAGGGUUGGCCUCAUGUUAUUAGGAAAAGCUGGGAUUUAGUAAUAAUGCUAGCCCUCUACAUUAGUAAGUGCUUACAGAGAACAAAAGGCCUCUAAUAAGGGAUCUGCACUGAGGGAUUUGAUCCCCAAGAGCCCAACAGCAGGGAGAAAGGCAGUGGGUCUAUCCACUGAUCGGCCCAGGCAGUCUUGUGCAUCUCCUUGGUAAGCGGAGGAGGCCAAGUGCUAGCUAGGCCUGUGUACAUACAGGAAGCUACACGCCAUACUAUGACUUCAAGUUUAAUCAAAACACAUAAACAUGGAAAGAGCCAGGAAGAGUCUGCUAGCUGUGCAGAUGGCAAGCCCACCUUCCAGAAAGCUUGCUCAGUUCUGUAACUCACUACUGAGUGGAGUCCGUGAAUAAUACGGGGGCUGAGUUCUCCCCGGAUAAGGGAGGGAAUCUGUGAGCAUUGAGCUCAGAGCUUUCUCCAUAGCUGAUGCCCCUGCCCUGACUCAGUCUUAAAUUGUGACCCAGCAAAACGCUCCAGAUUCUCGCCACGAACUCAGAUAAUGAAGGCAGAAAUUUCAAAGUGGUGGAAGAUUCAGUACAGAGUCGACUCUGUGUCUGAAGUGCCUUCCUAUUCUCCUUUGCUUAUCUGCCUCCAGGGAGCUGUCUACCAGACCUGGUCCUGCAGUCCUGAGGAGGUGCAGCAAGCCUUUCCCCUUCCUAUUCCCAUCAUGCUCUGCUCAACUGCAGAUGCCAGAUACAUUUCCCUCUGAAAUACUCCUCCCUUCCUUCAAGGCACUCACUCACCAAAGACCCCAACCUCCCUAGUCUACAUUUUCUGUGAACGAUACCAUCUGUUUCUGCAAGAGGUCAAUACAAAUGAGAUAUGAUCUACAAUGAACACUUUAUAAUCGCUCUGAUUUCCAGUCAUGGACACAGGCCCCUCUAGGGAGCUCCUGAGAUGGCCCAGAUGGGUUACCGGGAGAGUCCUUUGAUCCACAGGGUCAGGGUCGCCAUGCUUAUGGUUCUCUGUAAGGGGCAGGUGCCACAUGUACUUCAGGAAAGCCCCUCGCUGUGCCAGAGACUCCUGACAGAGGCAGCUUCUUACAAGUGAAGAAAACCUCUUCCCCACAGAACCAGUUCUUCAGAGUAAACAUUUUCAGUAGCUGGGAAAGUCUCCUUCUUCGUUUUUAGGAAGUGGCAUUUUCUGUGGUCAGGCAAGUUUGACCUUCCCACCCAGAAGUUGACAGCAAACGUCGGCACCCAUGCAAUCAGACAGAGCUUGAAUGUAUAAUUUCCCUUCAUAACAGCCAACGAGACUGGGGUUCUUCAGAGAGGCUAAGAGGAAGCCAAAGUACCGACCUGUGCCCUCUGGCUGCCCACUGAUGGCACUGUCCACACAAGACAGAAAAGAGUUCACAAUUAUUCUAUACUCUAGCUUACUUCAAUUCUGGCCUCCUCUGCCAACCCUGGAAACAAGGGUCCACUUGUUUCUCCUGAUCUGACACACAAGGGCUUUUCCUAUACCCUACCACCUUUCUGUAUGCUCACUAAACCUGAAAGGGAUGGAAAGCCAGAUCCCCAUCCCUCAGAAGCCUUGCAGCCAGACUUCUGGAGACGGUUUUGGUCUAGCCAAUAAGACUCAUGUUUGUAAAAUUCAGAAAAAUGAAAGGGAGUUCGUACUUGAGUGGCAGCUGCUCAGAGCACCUGGCUUUUGUACAGUGGCUUUCAUAGCCACCGUUCCGGCUUUGGGGAGCAGUUUUCAUGGGUGCUGGGAGGUAAGACUGAGACAUUGGUUUGCAGGGUUUGCUCUGAUAGAUGUGGCAUGAUCUAGACCAGUCAUGGCUGUGGGACCAUUUCAAUCACCACAGUUGCAAAAUGGUUCUGAAAAAAAGCAGAUUUAGAGAGAGCAGUUUCCUGUAGGAAGCUGGUUCCUCUGUGGUCCAGUUCUUUAAUAUAUAUAGUUUAAGAGUUAUUCCUGAGAGCCAGAGAGACCUCCAUUCAGAGAACGGUGUCUUUGGAACAUUUGGUCGUUUCUCAAGCCAUCCUGUCCCCUACAAUAAGCCCCUUUCUUCUCUACCUUUCUAUAAUGGACUCUGCUUUUCCACAGCUGACCCUUGAACCACAGCCCGACUCAAGUUGUACUCCAACAAGGAGAAUCCUACUUUCCAGACUGGCCUUUCUGGUUGCAGAUUCCAAAGGUAGACCACCGUCUACAUUCCAUUCAGAUGAGAAGCCACCUGUGUGGCCGGCUGAGGCCACAAUUCUCAAGCAUGACUUGAAAGCUGUUUUUCUUACAACUGGAUGCUUCCUGAGCAGUAAUGAACUUGGGUCUCCUUGGGAAGAAAGGACAGUAUGAGCCCCUGUCAGCAACAGAAGCUUCGUCAACCAGGCAACAGCAGCUACAAGCCAAAGCAACACACCUGAGUUCUAACCCAACCCACGUAAAAGGUAAAGAAAUCCCGGUAGAAAAUGACAAUACAGUGCUUCGACAGCCAGCCGGGCUGACUGCAAUCCAACAGGUCCACGGAUUCUCAUAAGUGAACUGAUUUCCUUUAAAAGAUGAGGUCGGCUCAGCCUGAUGUGUUCACAGGAAGGCAUGCUCUACGGUCUACAGAGUCACCCUCUGCAACCCAAUAAACAGCAGUGGCUUCCCCCAAGGACACAGGGGAAUGAGCUGCAAGCAUAAAUGUCACAGGCGGGGGCUCAAAAAAAAACAGGCCUUCCAGAACAGCAUCACUGUAUUCUGAGGAUCAAGAAAAAAAAGAGAAGAAAAGAAAAGGAAAGGAAGCUCUGCCGGGUCCCUUUCCUACAGACACACACAUCAUAGGGUGCAGAAGCCACGUGACAUGAUUACAUUUGACUGGAUGGACCAGUGGAAAACCACAGUAUUAACAACAUAAUUCUGAGGAGAGGUUCAUCCUGCCAAAUGCAGGAGAUAAUCCUGAAAGCUUUGGACCAGUAGGCACAGCUUUCAACAUUAGAUUUAUACGCUGGAGUACCAGGACGGGAGAAAGGAUCUCCCUGCUCAUUGCUGCUCAACAUUUGUAAGCUACCCUAGGUCUUCAUCAUCAGGGCUCCUGGAUACAUACACUCACACACACACACACACACACACACACACACACACACACACACACACACACACACACACAGCCUAUAUAAAAUAGUUCACAUGCAGCUUAUAUAACUAGCUAUAUGCAUUUCUCUGUGGCCAUGUAAAUGUACCCAGGCACAUGGAUGUUUCUAGAGGUAAACAAGUCACCUCUGGGCAGUGUUCCUCACCUGCUACCCUUUCAACGUUUACGAUAUGCAUUUUAACGUAUUGGAAAACUUAGCCAUGAUUGUUUUUAUAAAAUCGCUGCAAGAGCCCACAGGCCCACAUCUCUGAAGGUCGCACUGCCAGCCUGGCCCCAUCACCAACAGGCUGGAAAGGCGGACAUGUUUCAUGGCUAUAAAACUGAAUACAAUAUAAGGCCAACGCUCUCUCCCUUUAGUCUUGUUGCACUGUCACGGCACUGAGUCAGGAUCCUCCCUGCUACAGUCACUGCCCCUAUUUUACCUGAACAAACACAGAGGUCCCAGGGGGCAAACAACUGAGGCCUGCCUGGGCCCUCAGGACAAAGAAGCGGGGUGUAGGAGUUGAACCCGAAUGGAGGAUUCUCUCCUGAAAGGCAUCCCUGCCUUUAUACAAUGGGGCUAUUGUGGGAAUUAUCCUCUCGGAAGGUGAGGCCAACAGAAGAAGGAACAUUGCCAUCCCAAAGCAGUAGGAGACUCCAGUUCACAGAGAUGGAACUUGAACUCAGCCAUGACUCCGUGUUCUGACUACUAGCAUAGCGGUGAUGUCGCUCUCCAGGAAUUCAUUCUACCUGGUCCUGCACUGGGGUCCCUGAUGUUCACAGCAGUCCUGGGUCUAUGACAACUUGCAUAAAUGGAUGUUCUAGAGCCCCAUACAAGGAGAACAGUCCUGUAGCAGGGCACAAGGCCACUCACUCUGGCAAUGACUGCUAGAACAAUAGUGCCAAGUCUUAGAAGGCCAAGAGCAGGUUUAUAGACCCUGAGCUGCCUUUUCAAAACACCGCACAUGUGCUGUCUGUCUGUCUGUCUUUCUGUCUGUCUGUCUAUCUAUCUAUCAUCUAUCAUCCAUCCAUCUCUGCCGAGAACCGAAAGAAGAAAAGCAACCUCCAAGGAAAAGAUUCCCAGACCUCAAAUAUACCACUCAGGCUAGGAAGGCUGAGAGUCAUCCGCCCGCUCUCUUGUUUGGGCCCUGACCCCACACACUGUUCUCACUGUGGCCUUGUUGACAGCUGGACAGGCCAGGCCGGCUUAUCCUUCAAUCCUUCAAGCACAGCAUGGCAGGAAUGGAAGGAAAUCCUUCCUAGAGACACCAGAGGGACCUUGCAGUCUUGGGUAUGCACUGUCAGUCACAAGUGAGACCGAUGACGAUGACUGGGUGACCACUACUACACUGAGCUCUUCUCAUUUCACCAGCUCAAAACACCACACAAAUGAUUGAGGAGAGGAAGUCAAACAUGAUGGCUUGGCCCUUGCAGGAUGAGGUGUUCUAGACGUCACAGCUGGCUCCUGCAGGAGCACUGGCCUCUGCUGAGCCACCAACAGAAGCUACAAUGGUCUUCAUGGGAUAUUCGCCCCCACCCAGAGGCCUGCCAAGAGUCAACCCUCAGCGUCCUCCAGGAGCCUCCAAAUCCUUUCCCAACUGCUUUGUAGCAUGCCAGCUUUCAAUCAAUGCAAAUGCAGUGACCAGUUAAUCUCAAUAAAACCCAAAUCCAUACUUGGCUCUAUUCCUGAGCAAUCUGUUUAGGGAAGUCCCUAAAUGGUAGGGUUGGAAUACAGCAAAUGCACACAUGUACACCCAAGACGCCGAGUAGAGGAGGCAGCUUGCAAAAUGCAUUCAAAUAUGAAUUCAAUAUAUGAAGCUUUUUUCCCUUUUUUCAACCCAACUAAGUCCAAGGAACCACACAUUUGAGCCAUGACAGCUCACCACACAUUGCUGUGGAGUGUGUAGUUAGUCUGGCUUUGGCCACUACACACUCGAUGCUUCCUGAGUGAUAGUUAGCCAUAUCGAAUACUGUCCAGUCCGUGUGAAUGGAGCUUGCUUGCUCCCACAGAAGCACUUCCUUCCAGAGGUGAUGAGAGAGAUGACCUGGAGUCAGCUGCUUGAAAAGUGCCAUGGUGAACUUUUAAAGCAGAAAGCCCAGUUCUGGCCAAGAACAGUGAGCAGUCAUGAAUUCCAGCUGGUAAGGUGGAGUUUGACGCCUAAUCCAGUGCUACCUGUAGGUGGAUUGGCCUGUGGGCAUGCCUGCGAGGCAUUUUCUUGACUGCUGAUUGUACGGCCCACUAUGGGUGGUACUAUCCCUAGUAAGUGGGUCUAGGCUGUAUAAGAAGGUGAGCCUGCAACCAAGUCAGUAAACAACACUCCUCCAUCGCUUUAUCCUUCAAGUUUCUGCCCUGCUAGAGUAUCUGACUUCGCUCAGUGAUGCCUUGCAAUCUGUAAGCUGAAAUAAAUGCUUACCUCCCCAA